CCCGCGAGAGCCAUUACAUAUUUCGUGGGCAGGCGAGGAAGGGAGCGAGACCAGUUUUGUUCCCAAGGUCCACCGGAGAAGGAACUGGACACCUGCAGAUGCUUCCGUCUUCCCGAGACGAGGUCCUUAUGUAGCGUCCCGUGCGGACUCCUCCUCCUCCCCACUCGAAUCCUCUCUGGCUCUGCAGUUCCUCGGCCGUGUCAGUCAGCUCAGUUCUCGCGGAAAAUGCAGCUCUUCAAAAACGUUGUGCCCGACAGGAGAAGUGUAGCGGAACGGGUGCUAGAUUGGACGAAAUCUUCGAGAGCGAUCGUGUUUGUGAUGAUCAUUUGGAUGAUAGCUGGUUUCGGCCUCAUUUCCCACUUCCUGCGGAAAAACAACCUGCAGGGGUCCAUCAUAACUCUGGCGUUCAUCUUCCCCGUCUUUGGUGUGGUGUAUUCUUGUACCAGAAUCAGGGAUAUAACUCAGUGUGUCAUUCAGAUGUACCAUUCCAACAAGAAGGUCAAGAGAGAAAAACCUCCGUCUUACGAUGACGUCAUGAGUGGCGAAGCCCCUCCCCCAGCCUACUACGAACUCUUCAGCGAGGUCGAGGGUCACGGCCAGGACCCAGCAGCAGAAGGUGUCGCCGAUCUCUCCUCUUCCCCGUCACCACCUUUGCCGCUGCCAUUCUCGGGAGAGCUGACCCACAGACAACGGCGGACGUCGGUGGCGAAAUCCGACACGCGCAAGACGAGGAGUUUCGACGUCAUUUACGUGCCGGCGAUAGUGACCAGGCUGAGGAGGAGACUGUCUCUCAGUUCAGUGUGCGGAGCCAAAUGAGGGAGGAGAGAAUGGACUGUAUUUCAGAGACUUGCCCCCAGAUAUAUGAGACAAAGUGACUCUAGUCCUAACACUAGAGCAAAACAAAAUUUAGUUUUUAAGUUUUACAUUUAUUUAUUUAAUGCUAAACUAUUUCUCCUAUUAAUAUUCAGGGUAUAUAUUUAUUAAAAGUUAUCCUUCACAACAGCCAUACUUCAGGGAAGUAUGCCUCGACGCAUUCACUUGAUUUCUUUUGGAGAGAGGAGAGAGAGAGAGAGAGAGAGAGAGAGAGAGAGAGAGAGAGAGAGAGAGAGAGAAUAUUGAGUUAGGACAGAACUGAGCUAAAUUACGUUACAUAGCUACGUAACGUAAACUUCUGUUCGAAAAUGAACUCUACACAGAGAAAAUGAAGCACAUUCAAGCACCAAGGUCCACAGUAGCCGAGAUUUAUGACGACCCGCUACGGCAACAGGGUACCAAUGAGAAGAUGAGAAGAGACUGAGAGGGCACUGAGAAGACCAGUGACUCCCCACGGAUGAACUCCUCAAAGAAUCUAAUUGGGAACCAGGACGACACGAACAAGAAAACAUUGGAGAAGACGGACAAUCACGUCCUCAUCGACACUGGUGAACGCUACUGGCGAAUAAAUAGAAUUCCAAGUAGGCCCAUGCAUAGGAAAAACAUUGAAAACAUCAGUUAGAUAGAAUAUACACUUUAGGCUGGAGGCCAAGCACUGGGACCCAUGAGGUCAUUCAGCUAUGAAAUAAAAAUGGAGAAUAAGAGAUUUGAAAGGUGUAACAGGAGGAAACCCUCGCAGUUGCACUAUGAUACGAUUGUUAGAAGAGUCUGGAACGUAAGAGGGAAGACAGAAUAUGAAAGGAGGUACAGCAUAAGGAAUAAAAGUAGAUGCAGUUAGGGACUGAAGGGACGCACCAAAGAAACUUAAGUAUAAAGCUUACGUAUAAAGGAUUGAAAACAUCUGGGCCACCACAUUCUUACGGUGCAAGAUGAUUAUGAACGUGGAUACGUGCAUGAUCCAUCACAUUCUUGACCAAGCACCCCAUGACUACUCUCUCCAUUCUGCAUUCAUUAAUGAUCACGGAGCUUCAGUUCCUUCACUAAACAGUCAGGGUUCUUCUUCUACUCUUUUGUAUGUAUCCUACGUCGACGCCCUAUCUCUCAAAACGAACACAUCCCUCAACUUUUAGCUCCAUCAGAGUUAGGUACUAGAAUAUCUCCUGAUAUAAUUUCCAAUUUUCAUUUUCUAGUAUUUGAAUGAUUUUAAAUUUAUUUAAAUUUUUUCAUAUUUAUUUUAACAUUCAUAAAUGUUUUCACUGAAAAUAUUUUUUUAAGUAUAAUUAUACGUACUUUGGAUUGUCUUACAACCCUGAUGAUGGGACAAAAUAUCCCAAAAAUUUGGGCAAUAAACACGAAAUACUACUCUGGCUGUUUUCUCAUUAUUCUUAUUCCUUCUGAAUCUUUAGCAUUUCAGAUGCCUCAACCUUUCUGUCUUUAAAUAUAUAUAAUAUGCACAUAGGAAUGUCAAAAUCCAUAUGACUGAUACCCCAGAGCCGUACCCCAUGUUGACAUUAGCCAAGAAACUGAAUUCUAUCUUGACACUUUAUGUACCCUCUCUCUCAUGCAUUUGAUCACCUAAUGAAUUUCCGUGGAGGCUCUAGGGGCUAACGACUCAGGGAAACAUUGUAUCCCUGGGGGUGAAAUCUCUAUUUAUUAAUAUAUCUGUGGAUACUUCAAAGAGAUCAUCUUUGACACUGUCAAUAUAGAUGCCAGCUCCCAAUAAUUAAGCAGAUAUACACCAAGAGCACAACCCCCUUCAGAUCUUGUGGAUAUGUGAUACGUAUUCGUACUGUACAGCAAGAUGGCAUUGCAAUCAGUACUCUCUGCACGUUACUUGGACCAUUGAAGAAAGUAUAUUCACCCGUAGAAAAAUGCCCUUCAACCACUUCAUGUAAUUAUAUGCCAAAGAAAAGCUAAAGUAUCUAUGAAGAGCCUCUAUCAAAGUGUUGGGCCAAACAUAAAUGACAAAGAAAAGCUACGGGAUCUGAAGAUUUCAUUGAAGACAAGGGACAAACCUUAAAUUUAGACUCAAUAUCGACAACUAGCUGUUUCUCACGGAUGUUCACUUGACUCAAAAAGAAUGAAGGCUUAGAAACCUAUAAAUCUGGGUCUUGGCCAGAACAGGAAUAGUGAAUCCCCUAGAAAAAACCUACAGAUUAACGAGAUAGAAUAGAAUAUACAAUUGAGGUCGAUGGACAACUGCUGGGACCUAUAAGAGUAUUAGCACUGAAAGAAAAAUAGAGAGUAAAAGGUUACAACGGCAGUUGUAAUAUGAAACAAUUAUUAGAAGAGGGUGGAAGUAAGAUGAGAGAAAGAAUGUGAAUGGCAGUACAAGGAAUGAAAGGGGUUGCAGCUAGGGCCUGAAGGGACGCUGCAAAGGACCUAGGUAAUGGCUACAGUGUACUGUGCAUGAGGUGCGCUGAUGGCAUGUCAUCCCCUACAGAUACACGAGCACCAUAAACCAGACGAACACUAACACACUUCAGACUGGAGAGCCACUCACACAUCAGAAGGACCACUGAGAAUUGGUGUAAUAAACAAGCCUGUACCUACCACCUGUAUUUACUGGUCCAUUAGAACACGAUGGAUGUUAAGCAGAAUGUGCAAACUUCAAGUGAAUUAUGUCUGACUUUAUACAUUAGAUAUAACUAUACAGACAAAUUGUAAGGAAAACUAACAAGAAAUUUCAUUAUUGUGCAGUUGUGUAAAAAUAUGUGGAAAUUUUAUUAUUGUGCAGUUGUGUAAAAAAUAAGUGGAAAUUUUAUUAUUGUACAGUUGUGUCAAAAAGUUGUAGUUUUACAAAAGAAGACAAAAAAUAAUAAGUAAAUCAGACAUUUACAAAAAAAAAACAAGGAAACUAUCUCAUUAUUUUA